CCAGACUCCUACGGGAGGCAGCAGUGAGGAAUAUUGGUCAAUGGGCUUACGCCUGAACCAGCCAAGUCGCGUGAGGGAAGACUGCCCUAUGGGUUGUAAACCUCUUUUGUCAGGGAGCAAUUGGCGCUACGUGUAGCGUUAUCGAGAGUACCUGAAGAAAAAGCAUCGGCUAACUCCGUGCCAGCAGCCGCGGUAAUACGUAGGUGGCAAGCGUUAUCCGGAUUUACUGGGUGUAAAGGGUGCGUAGGUGGCAUGGCAAGUCAGAAGUGAAAGCCCGGGGCUCAACCCCGCGGACUGCUUUUGAAACUGUCAGGCUGGAGUACAGGAGAGGUAAGCGGAAUUCCUAGUGUAGCGGUGAAAUGCGUAGAUAUUAGGAGGAACACCAGUGGCGAAGGCGGCUUACUGGACUGUAACUGACACUGAGGCACGAAAGCGUGGGGAGCAAACAGGAUUAGAUACCCUGGUAC
rnacentral:rRNA from 1 species